AGUGAACGCUGGCGGUAGGCCUAACACAUGCAAGUCGAACGGCAGCACAGUAAGAGCUUGCUCUUACGGGUGGCGAGUGGCGGACGGGUGAGGAAUACAUCGGAAUCUACUUUUUCGUGGGGGAUAACGUAGGGAAACUUACGCUAAUACCGCAUACGACCUACGGGGGAAAGCAGGGGAUCUUCGGACCUUGCGCGAUUGAUUGAGCCGAUGUCGGAUUAGCUAGUUGGCGGGGUAAAGGCCCACCAAGGCGACGAUCCGUAGCUGGUCUGAGAGGAUGAUCAGCCACACUGGAACUGAGACACGGUCCAGACUCCUACGGGAGGCAGCAGUGGGGAAUAUUGGACAAUGGGCGCAAGCCUGAUCCAGCCAUACCGCGUGGGUGAAGAAGGCCUUCGGGUUGUAAAGCCCUUUUGUUGGGAAAGAAAAGCAGCAGGUUAAUACCCCGCUGUUCUGACGGUACCCAAAGAAUAAGCACCGGCUAACUUCGUG
rnacentral:rRNA from 1 species